rnacentral:rRNA from 1 species
UUGAACGCUGGCGGCAUGCCUUACACAUGCAAGUCGAACGGCAGCACGGGUGCUUGCACCUGGUGGCGAGUGGCGAACGGGUGAGUAAUACAUCGGAACAUGUCCUGUAGUGGGGGAUAGCCCGGCGAAAGCCGGAUUAAUACCGCAUACGAUCCACGGAUGAAAGCGGGGGACCUUCGGGCCUCGCGCUAUAGGGUUGGCCGAUGGCUGAUUAGCUAGUUGGUGGGGUAAAGGCCUACCAAGGCGACGAUCAGUAGCUGGUCUGAGAGGACGACCAGCCACACUGGGACUGAGACACGGCCCAGACUCCUACGGGAGGCAGCAGUGGGGAAUUUUGGACAAUGGGCGAAAGCCUGAUCCAGCAAUGCCGCGUGUGUGAAGAAGGCCUUCGGGUUGUAAAGCACUUUUGUCCGGAAAGAAAUCCUUGGCUCUAAUACAGUCGGGGGAUGACGGUACCGGAAGAAUAAGCAACCGGCUAACUACGUGCCAGCAAGCCGCGGUAAUACGUAGGGUGCAAGCGUUAAUCGGAAUUACUGGGCGUAAAGCGUGCGCAGGCGGUUUGCUAAGACCGAUGUGAAAUCCCCGGGCUCAACCUGGGAACUGCAUUGGUGACUGGCAGGCUAGAGUAUGGCAGAGGGGGGUAGAAUUCCACGUGUAGCAGUGAAAUGCGUAGAGAUGUGGAGGAAUACCGAUGGCGAAGGCAGCCCCCUGGGCCAAUACUGACGCUCAUGCACGAAAGCGUGGGGAGCAAAACAGGAUUAGAUACCCUGGUAGUCCCACGCCCUAAACGAUGUCAACUAGUUGUUGGGGAUUCAUUUCCUUAGUAACGUAGCUAACGCGUGAAGUUGACCGCCUGGGGAGUACGGUCGCAAGAUUAAAAACUCAAAGGAAUUGACGGGGACCCGCACAAGCGGUGGAUGAUUGUGGAUUAAUUCGAUGCAACGCGAAAAACCUUACCUACCCUUGGCAUGGUCGGAAUCCUGCUGAGAGGCGGGAGUGCUCGAAAGAGAACCGGCGCACAGGUGCUGCAUGGCUGUCGUCAGCUCGUGUCGUGAGAUGUUGGGUUAGUCCCCGCAACGAGCGCAACCCUUGUCCUUAGUUGCUACGCAAGAGCACUCUAAGGAGACUGCCGGUGACAAACCGGAGGAAGGUGGGGAUGACGUCAAGUCCUCAUGGCCCUUAUGGGUAGGGCUUCACACGUCAUACAAUGGUCGGAACAGAGGGUUGCCAACCCGCGAGGGGGAGCUAAUCCCAGAAAACCGAUCGUAGUCCGGAUUGCACUCUGCAACUCGAGUGCAUGAAGCUGGAAUCGCUAGUAAUCGCGGAUCAGCAUGCCGCGGUGAAUACGUUCCCGGGUCUUGUACACACCGCCCGUCACACCAUGGGAGUGGGUUUUACCAGAAGUGGCUAGUCUAACCGCAAGGAGGACGGUCACCACGGUAGGAUUCAUGACUGGGGUG